GACAGAGGUGCCAAGCGUUAGGCGGAAUCACUGGGCUUAAAGCGUGUGUAGGUGGAAGCGUAAGUACCUUGUGAAAUCCCACGGCCUAACCGUGGAACUGCUUGGUAUACUGCGUUUCUUGAGCCAACUAGGGGCUAUCGGAACAAGUGGUGGAGCGGUGAAAUGCGUAGAUAUCGAGAGGAACACCUGCGGCGAAGGCGGGUUGCUGGGCUGACACUGACGCUGAUGCGCGAAAGCCAGGGGAGCGAACGGG
rnacentral:rRNA from 1 species